rnacentral:ncRNA from 1 species
AAAAAAAAAUUUUUUAUAGUUUAAAAAUUUUAUUUAUAAUUUAUUUUAAAUAUAAAUUUUGGUAUUAUUAUUUUAUUAUUUUAAUAAUAAUAAUUAUAUUAUUAACUAUUUAUAUUAAAUAAUAUUAAUUAAUUUAAGAAAUUAUGAUUUAGAAAUAUUAAAAUUUAAUAACUAAAUUUGUGCCAGCAGUUGCGGUUAUACAAAUAUUAAUAUAAAUUUUAUUGAAAAAAUAAUAAAUAUAUUUUAUUUAAAUUUAAAUUUUAAAAUAAUAAGUGAAAUUAUAUUUUAAUAAUAAAAAAUUUUAUUUUAUUAUUUAAUUAAAUUUAUUAUUAAACUAGGAUUAGAUACCCUAUUAUUAAAAAUAAAUAAUUAUUAAAUCAGAGUAGUAAUAUUAAUUUGAAAUUUAAAUAAUUUGGCGGUAUUUAAAUUUGUUCAGAGGAAUUUGUUAAUUAAUUGAUAAUCCACGAAUAAAUUUACUUAAUUUAAAAAUUUAUAUAUCGUUGUUAUAAAAAUAUUUUAUAAAAAUUAAUAAUAUUUUAAUUUUUUUUUAAUUUAAAUAAAUUAAAUCAGAUCAAGAUGUAGUUAAUAAUUAAGUUUUAAUGAAUUACAAUAAAUUUAUUUAUAUGAAUAUUUAUAUGAAAAGUUAAAUUGAAAUUGGAUUUGAAUGUAAUUUUAAAAAAUUUUUUAAAAUGAUUGAAAAUUAAAAUAUGUACAUAUUGCCCGUCACUUUCAUUAAUAAAUUGAAAUAAGUCGUAACAAAGUAGAGGUACUGGAAAGUGUUUUUAGAAAGAU